AGCGUUCCAUACUGUUUACUAAAAUUGGAACGAUACAGAGAAGAUUAGCAUGGCCUCUGAGAAACAGUUGUGUGACAUUAAUAUGAAAAGGUAAGAAUUGAA
ensembl:snRNA U6 U6 spliceosomal RNA